rnacentral:rRNA from 1 species
GGUUUGUCUGUAGAGUCUUUCAUUGAAGGUACUCUAUGGGUAAAUCUUUCCUUCUGGUUAACUAUUGUGUCAUUCACUUGGUGCGAUAGGGACCCAGGACUUUUACUUUGAAAAAAUUAGAGUGUUUAAAGCAGGCUUACGCUUGAAUACAUUAGCAUGGAAUAAUAAAAUAGGACGGCAUGGUUCUAUUUUGUUGGUUUCUAGGAUCACCGUA